UCUAAAUAAAAUCUAAAUGUCUAAAAACAAUGAUGUUUUACAGUCACGCCUAUCUGUAUUGCUUAGGAUAUUCUAAAUUUAUUAAAUGUGAGUGAAACAAUCUUUUUGCAAAACUCUAAAGCAAUGAACAUGACAUAAUGUUUAUAUCUGACAAGAUAAUAAUCAUCUUAAUUUAAUUUCCCUGCUAUCUGAUUCAUAAUUCUUUAUCACAAUCAAUUUCUGUCAAAAUGAGCUGUCAGGGAUAAGAAAACAUUUGAAAACUUCCUUUAAAGAUGCUCACUAUUUUUUAUUAAGUCUUUUAUGACUCUUUUUUCAAAGAUUAGAUAAACAUAACCCCGGAGUCUCUACAGGAGACAUUUCCCUUUAUUCUUAUCACAAUCAAAGCUUUGUUUCUCGUGCUGCAGAAUGGGUUAUUACUAGAACCAUUAAUCUGGGUUUCUGUUGCUGGUGGUUUUUCAGUUCCAGGUUCCAUCUGAAGUCCCAAUAUUUGGGAAAUCCAUCGGAGGAGCUGGCGAACCUGUUCAGAGUGUUGUAAAUUAGUUCCAGUCUCCACGAGCCUGCUGUGACUAAUUGAUGUGACCUGGAAGUGGAUAAAGUCCAUAACAGUAAGAUCAACUUUUCCUCUGGUAAUUUGACAAAUAGAGCCCUUUUUAAAAGUCUCGUGUAGGCUCCAUUCCCCAUUUGUUCUGUCGUGAUGGGCAUCGUUUCCGUGUUGGAGUGAUAAUGAUUUUCCAGAUUUCUGCUGAUUUGUAGAGCAGGUGCCUUUAUUUAUUAAUGCCAGAAGAAGGGAAAGAUUCAACAACACCAACAAAAAGAGAAUUCCUGGCAACAGCUGUAUAUCAAAGCCAUUCCUUAUCCAGUUACCUUGCUAAAGGGCUGCUGGAAUGGGAUCUGUGCAGUGGAACCUCCUGGAAACUCCACGUUGCUGCCUAAUGAAUUUUUUAAGAAGAAUUUUAGGCAGCCACAUUAAGCGCUGUACUGACUAACAGCCCAGAGGAUCCGGUGCUUUCUCUUCUCCUGGCUUUUCUCCACUCCUGCUCUCGGAGCUGCCCUGAGGUCUCGCUCCAAGGCCCGGCUGCUGCUGCUGUGCUGACAGCCCUGCUCCAGAGCACACCUCCAAACACACCAUUCCCUGCCCCAUCCAAAACUUUGCCUUCCAGACAAACACAAAGGAACACGGCUCCAAACACCACGAUCAAUCCCCUCAAUAAAAUUUCAUGCAUUUUCAAACAGUAUUUGUCUUGAUGUGGAAAACAAAAAGCAAAGAAAAGACAACGGCAAAAAGCCUUCCCAGUGCAUGAAGUGAGAAAUGUGGCUUUAAUUUAGACAACUAAUUGCUUCCAGCUGAACCAGCCAUUAAAAACAGUUGAAGAAUUACAAUGUAAAUAGAUUAAUGCAGACAAAGCAACAUGUGCACUAUUCCAUGUCUUCUUGUUACCUACAAAAUACUUGGGCAGUGACACACUGUUAGUCUAAGCCACUUGUUAGGUUCUGUGCUAAUCAGCUAAAAUUAAAUAAACAUGACUGAUAAAAAUGA